GGAGGACGCGUGCGAGGGCGCGCUGGACGGGGCGGGCGAGGCGGCGCGCAGGCUGGCGUAGCUACGGUGGUCGGCGGGCGAGCGGCCGGCGGUGGGCGACGAGGCGGCGCUGCUGCGGCCGCUCAGGCUCGGCCCGUCGGGCGAGCAGCCGGCGCCCCCUUCCUCGUACAGGCCCAGGGGGUCGCUGGGGUCGGCGCCAGCGCCCACGCCGCCGACCGGCGAGGACGACGCGCCCAGGCCGCCGAACAGUUUGCUCUAUCUCGGCUCGGAGUCCUGGAGACCGUGCUAAAGUGAAGAGGAGUUUCUCGAAUGCUGGUUGCUGAAGCUUCCAGUGCAAGUUUCUCGCCGCCUCCCAGUUCUUUUCAGUAUUGGAAUAAAGAAUCAGCCUCUGGUGCAAAAUCUGUUCCUCGGCUCCUUCAUAAAGCCAAGGAUGUAGAAGGGGGAGGAAAACCACGACAAUAAAUCAAUGGAUAUUGAAAACCAUUAAGAAAGUGGUACCUGGACACCUGUCAUCACAGUUAUUUUAACAACUCGAGUAUCCUCAUGAGAACAAGAAGAAAACGGGUGUUUCCACUGGGCCACGGAGAUUUGAAGCAUAAAUACAAGCUUCUGUCUGCCCCAUUUCGCGAGGCAGGAGCAGGGCACACCCACUGGGAGCCUGGGUUUGCUCUGCCACCAGCCGGCUCCCAAUCCGGGGAGAAGCCGCCGCCAGGUGGCAGCGCUGAGCCUCCCUGCACUCGCAUGGAGACGUGGGAAAACGUGGAGACUGUCAGACUUCUUUCUUCUCCCCCUUCCACCUCUCCCGAACCCUUAUCAUCCCACACUCUUCCAACGUGUUUAGGUAGCAGUUUAAAUGAUCAGAGGUUAUAGAGUGUGUCGAUGAAUCUUGAUGAUUUUUUUUUAAAUCAUAAAUCGAGUUUGGGGCAACGAACAGUUUUGGCCUCCUGUUCACUUGUCAAAGCUCCCAGACACUGGAGACGCCAAGGCUAGCUCCGGUUUGGGUCUAGUAAGUGAACCGGGCAGUUAUCAAUUACCGUGUCCGUAUCUUGCUGAAGCUGCAAGUAGUUAGAAGUCUCUCUCCGAGAGCCGCUGCAAAGGAGGCGCGCUUUACUUAAGGACUGGCAACGGAUACCCCUCCUCCUGGAAAGAUGGUCUCAGCCAGACGCCUGACCGAGCGCAGCGACUCGGUGGCGCAGGCUCGGCGCUCUUCCUGCCCUGAGCUCGGAGAGGAUUCGGCGGGGAUUAAUGGUGCUCAGCCGCGUUCCGCCGCGCCGGCUGAGACUGGCCUUGCGAUUAUGGUUACAGGGAGGAAAUAAAUUGGAAUCGACUC
rnacentral:lncRNA from 1 species